rnacentral:rRNA from 1 species
GUUUGAUCCUGGCUCAGAGUGAACGCUGGCGGCAGGCCUAACACAUGCAAGUCGAACGGCAGCACAGGAGAGCUUGCUCUCUGGGUGGCGAGUGGCGGACGGGUGAGGAAUGCGUCGGAAUCUGCCUAUUCGUGGGGGAUAACGUAGGGAAACUUACGCUAAUACCGCAUACGACCUACGGGUGAAAGUGGGGGACCUUCGGGCCUCACGCGGAUAGAUGAGCCGACGCCGGAUUAGCUAGUUGGCGGGGUAAAGGCCCACCAAGGCGACGAUCCGUAGCUGGUCUGAGAGGAUGAUCAGCCACACUGGGACUGAGACACGGCCCAGACUCCUACGGGAGGCAGCAGUGGGGAAUAUUGGACAAUGGGCGCAAGCCUGAUCCAGCCAUGCCGCGUGUGUGAAGAAGGCCUUCGGGUUGUAAAGCACUUUUGUUGGGGAAGAAACAGCGCAGGUUAAUAACCGGCGUGAAUGACGGUACCCAAAGAAUAAGCACCGGCUAACUUCGUGCCAGCAGCCGCGGUAAUACGAAGGGUGCAAGCGUUACUCGGAAUUACUGGGCGUAAAGCGUGCGUAGGCGGUUUGUUAAGUCUGAUGUGAAAGCCCCGGGCUCAACCUGGGAAUGGCAUUGGAUACUGGCAGGCUAGAAUGUGGUAGAGGGUGGUGGAAUUCCCGGUGUAGCGGUGAAAUGCGUAGAGAUCGGGAGGAACAUCCGUGGCGAAGGCGGCCACCUGGACCAACAUUGACGCUGAGGCACGAAAGCGUGGGGGAGCAAACAGGAUUAGAUACCCUGGUAGUCCACGCCCUAAACGAUGCGAACUGGAUGUUGGGCACACUUAGGUGCUCAGUGUCGAAGCUAACGCGUUAAGUUCGCCGCCUGGGGAGUACGGUCGCAAGACUGAAACUCAAAGGAAUUGACGGGGGCCCGCACAAGCGGUGGAGUAUGUGGUUUAAUUCGAUGCAACGCGAAGACCCUUA